CCUACGGGGGGCUGCAGUGGGGAAUAUUGGACAAUGGGCGAAAGCCUGAUCCAGCCAUGCCGCGUGUGUGAAGAAGGCCUUCGGGUUGUAAAGCACUUUCAGUGGGGAAGAAAGCCUUGGGGCUAAUACCCUCGAGGAAGGACAUCACCCACAGAAGAAGCACCGGCUAACUCCGUGCCAGCAGCCGCGGUAAUACGGAGGGUGCGAGCGUUAAUCGGAAUUACUGGGCGUAAAGCGCGCGUAGGCGGUCUGAUAAGCCGGUUGUGAAAGCCCCGGGCUCAACCUGGGAACGGCAUCUGGAACUGUAAGGCUAGAGUGCAGGAGAGGAAGGUAGAAUUCGCGGUGUAGCGGUGAAAUGCGUAGAGAUCGGGAGGAAUACCAGUGGCGAAGGCGGCCUUCUGAACUGACACUGACGCUGAGGUGCGAAAGCGUGGGUAGCAAACAGGAUUAGAUACCCUGGUAGUC
rnacentral:rRNA from 1 species